GUAGUCCACACAGUAAACGAUGAAUACUCGCGGUUGGUUCGUUAGAAUCAGUCGCCAAGCGAAAGCGUUAAGUAUUCCACCUGGGGAGUACGCCGGCAACGGUGAAACUCAAAGGAAUUGACGGGGGCCCGCACAAGCGGAGGAACAUGUGGUUUAAUUCGAUGAUACGCGAGGAACCUUACCCGGGCUUGAACUGCCAGUGACUCAUGCAGAGACGCAUGUUUCUUCGGACACUGGCGGAGGUGCUGCAUGGUUGUCGUCAGCUCGUGCCGUGAGGUGUCGGCUUAAGUGCCAUAACGAGCGCAACCCUUCUCCCUGUUUGCCAUCGGGUUAAGCCGGGCACUCCAGGGACACUGCCAUCGUAAGAUGUGA
rnacentral:rRNA from 1 species